GUUGAUUUUCUCCAAGCUCCAAGAUAUAAACUUUCUUCACUGCUGCUCUAAUCUGUUCAUUAUAAAUGUUCUUUAGAAGAAACUAAAGCUAUUCAAUUUGAUGUGCAAGAAGCAACUGGAGGUUUGUAGUUCCAGGCUCUGAUGUUGGUUAAGGGAGAUUGGGCAAAAGCAUCUACCAACUAUAAAUGGUCUUCCUCACAAAGAAGCCCUUUUAAGCUACUGUCGGAGUGGUAUUCAGUUAUAUAAUUGGGGAGUCUAUGAUAUUGUUUUUGAAUGUGGUCAUCUGGUAUAGUUUACAAUUAUCAAACUACAGUUGCUAGAGGUAUUUGAUCUUGCAAGAUGUGUAUUGUCUGUGCUUCUUUUAUUGAUGUUUGGUAAUACCAUGGGUUCUAUACCAUUGCUUGAGAGUUUGGAGAGUGUUCUUGCACAUGCAUAUGCAGGCUGGUUUCUACAAUGAUUGUCAGCGCAGAGUUUCAUGCGGUACUUUUAAAUACCAAUGCCAUAGUGAAUCAGCUGCAAAGUAAUUGUGGGUUUCUUGAUAGUUAUUGUGAAGGAUUCUAUAACUAUCAAGAAACCCUCAACAGAUUUAUAACAGUACUAUCAGUUGAUGCGGUUAUGAUGUUGGGCUUGCUUCUCCACUUGCAGCUUCUGCUGUGGUACAAGUUGCAUAACUUGUAGAUAAUGGUUAUAUAGCCAGAAGUUAUAUGCCUUAUGGAGGGCAUCAAAGAGACUAUUUAUUUUAUGGCUGGACUUUACUGUUUUCGGGACUUUGGACUCUUAUCAGUUUGCCUACAUGAAUGUUGCAGUGCAUGCUGAGGAUCAAAAUUGAGGUGUUGGACAUUAUGAUGUCUCAAACUCAGGGGGUGGAUUCCUUCAUGUCCCAAAAGUUAAGCUCUUCGCUACACAUCUUGGGAUCACAACUUUCUUUGUCAUUGCUUUACCUAAUAGGAAAAGAGUCAACCGAUUAAAAAUGGUGGAAGUCUAUGCACUAUCAAGCUAGGUUUCACCAAAUGAUGUUUUCUUGUACGUGGUGCAUCUGAUGUGCUUAAUUUGAAGUGAGGCCCAACAAUUGGUCGAAAUGAUGAAUGUACUAGGAUGGAUGAUGAACUAGCAACUGAACGUAGAAGUUUAAGAGGAUCAUCUGUAGGAUCGCCAUGGAACAUUACUACUAGUGCCACAGUCUUCAAUAAUGGAGAUACUGUAAUUUGUCAAGCAUAUGGCAGUGUUAAAAUAAGACUUCCUUCUUCAGUGAUAUUUGAAUGCAGAAAAUAAACUAAGGGUGAUUUAUUUAAUGUUUAUGAGCAUUGCCAAAUUUCCUAGUUAACCUAGAAAGAUGAUGAAAAUGUGUUGAGUUUUUAUGUGAUAGAGCACCUUGAGUGCCAAAAGUAUGGAACUGAAUCAGAUCCUUCAGCAAAAGGUCAGUUCACAAGCCAUAUAAGUGAGAAAGUGCUCGGAUUUAUUAUGGUAAUGUUUGGAAAAUCUGCAGGGUGGACAAAUGCCACAGUCUCGUUGACAUAUGAAUUUGUAUCUUCUGGUUAGGAGUCAUGGAGAAGAGUUUAAAGUGCAUCUGUAAUAUUGGGGUGGCUAGUAUCCCAGUUGCUUUUGGAGUUCUAAUGAGCUGGAUUCUGCCUCCUCAUUAUACUACGACAAAUUUUUACCUUUAUCUUCAGCAUUGCAUAGCCAAUGGAAUACUGAGAGUCUAAAGGAACAAUCCUCUAUUCUGCAUUAAGAAAUCUCCCUAAUGAGGAAGAACUUGUGCAAAAAGAUGCUGUUUCCAUUUGAUUGAGACGGAAUAUAGACAUCAGAGCAACAACUUUGCAUUCAGGCAAAAUACCAUUUGACAGGAGGCCCUCUUUAUGAAGCUAUGAUGCUGUCCGCUUUGAUGUUGCAAAUUGCUAUCCUGAAGCAUAUGCAUGUCAAGGUAUCAGUGGGGAACAUUUACAUCCCUCAGAACCAAGUUAUUCACAUAGGAAAGCAUCUUUGACUGAAGUUAAGUCUUUGACUGUUUGGUAACCAUUACUUUCAAAUUCAUUUCUUGCACAUUGCACUAAUUUGUCAUGAUUAUAGCAUCUUUCAUUUUACAGUUUGUCUCAUUUAAGGGUUUAAGAAAUACUCUCGAUCUCAGGGAUUGUUGUGCCUAUAUAGACCAUUCUGAGUAAGCAAUUUUGGCUAUUAUUAUAAUUUCAAAGCAAGUCAUCGCAAUGGUUUUUCAGGAACUGUGAUCAAGUGUAUCUUAUUUAAAUAGCUAUCUCUUUAUAGUUGAAUUGAUACUCUGCGGUGUUUAGAUUGUCUGAGUUCUUAGAGGCUAAGAAUAUUGCAAAACCCGCAGAAGUUGGAUAAAUUGUUGAGAAGUGUUCAAUAGCCAAAAGAUUCAAGUUUGAUUAGAGUUCAAAUCUAAGACCUUUGGUAUCAGGUGUGCAUCACUCUCUUUCGAGUAUCUAUCGUGCUCACAAAUGUACAUCUAUCACGUAUCUACCAUGCUUAUACAGUUGCUUGUUAAAGUUUUCAGAACGCAUUUUCAUGUUCUGUUGUCUGCUUCUGUUAAAGAAUUCUCCUUUCCUAAAGCAAGAAAGUGUUUCCCAAAUACUAACUUUUUAUGCUGACAAUUUCAACGUUUGGGAAUAAGCCUGUG